rnacentral:rRNA from 1 species
AGCAGCCGCGGUAAUUCCAGCUCCAAUAGCGUAUAUUAAAGUUGCUGCAGUUAAAAAGCUCGUAGUUGAAUUUCGGGAUCAAUAUGUUGGUCGUGCCUCGGUACGUACUAGCUUAUUGGUUUCUUCCUUCUGACGAACCAUAAUGUCAUUUAUUUGGUGUUAUGGGGAAUCAGGACUGUUACUUUGAAAAAUUAGAGUGUUUAAAGCAGGCUCACGCUUGAAUACAUCAGCAUGGAAUAAUGAAAUAGGACGUUUGAUUCUAUUUUGUUGGUUUCUAGGAUCGACGUAAUGAUUAAUAGGGAUAGUUGGGGGCAUUAGUAUUCAAUUGUCAGAGGUGAAAUUCUUGGAUUUAUUGAAGACUAACUACUGCGAAAGCAUUUGCCAAGGAUGUUUUCAUUAAUUAAGAACGAAAGUUAGGGGAUCGAAGACGAUCAGAUACCGUCGUAGUCUUAACCAUAAACUAUGCCGACUA